rnacentral:tRNA from 1 species
GCAGGAUGUAGCUCAUGGAGAGCACCGGAGUAAAAUCCGGAGGCAUCGGUUCGAUUCCGAUUUCUUGUACCA